UGAUAGGUUCAUAAUAUUGCAAGUUCUUGUAAGUACAUUUUAAACAGAAAUGUAAUGAAGUAAUGAAUUUUUGAAUACUCAUGGUGACUCGCAUAAUUUUGAAAAUAUUACUAAACAUACCUAGCCUAUAAGUAGGUAGGUACAUAUUUCCCAAUGUGUUUAUUAGUACUAAACAUAAACUUUUUAUGUGCUAACACUUUUUUUCAAAAAAAACAUUUUCGAAUUCAUAAUUUUUUUUUUCUUUAUGUCUUGCUUGUACUUUUGUUGAAUCCUUUAUACUAUCUCAUUAAAAAUACAUAAACGCUACAUUUCUGAUUCACAAUCAGAUCACUUUUGAAACUAUAUAAUCCAUUAAAUGUAUACAAGGGUGCACAUAGAAUUUUAUUAGUGUGAACCCACUACCCCAGAAUAAACCUUUAGUUAAAUAUGAUGUUAAUUUAUUAUUAUUUCCAUAUUUUUGUAUUAUUUAUUAUGUUCAAUAUUGAUAAUAUUCCAAAAACUAUAAAUUAAGUGAUAAGUUUAGUAUAAUUUAAAAUUGUAUUGAAUAAUUACUAAGAAAACAAUGAUCGGUAUUCUUGCUUCUGUAUAAUUUUGAAAUUUUUUUUUAGUAUCUAUAAAUAAAAUGUCAAAAAUAAACUCAUUCAUAAAUUUUUAGUAGCAAAGAAAUAAAUAGGUUGCUUAGUUAAAAGAUUGGUUGAAGAGUAUAAAAACAUAAUUGUGAAUGAGACAGAUUCAGAAAAAUGGUUACUGGGAAAUAAUUUAGCAGUUUAAUUGUAAAGUGUACUUAUAAAUUAAUUUAGAUAGAUAAAAAACAUAAAAGGUUAAAUAUAUUGUACCUAUUUAGUAUUUAAGACUUACAAAAAGAAAAAAUAUACUUAAGAAAGCAAAUAAUAUCUGUUCAAAAUUAGUGUUGGUGAAAAAAGAAUCAAAUUGAUAUCAAUUAAUAUAACUAGAAAUGUCGAUAAAUAAGAUAAAAAUGAACUAUGAAAGUAAUAUUUAAUUAAUGGUUAACUGCAAUGCCAAUAAGUCAAUAAUAUUUUAGGAAUAAUGUAAUUAACUUUGAAUAAGGAAGAACUUGGCUAACAGAUAAGAGUUUGUUCAUUCUGUCUGGUUCAAUCAGUAGUUUACAAGUAAUUGCAACAUUUAAGUUAUAUAUUUUUUUUUUUU